rnacentral:rRNA from 1 species
AGAGUUUGAUUAUGGCUCAGGACGAACGCUGGCGGCGUGCUUAACACAUGCAAGUCGAACGGGAGUAUCAAAGAAGCUUGCUUUUAAGAUACUUUAGUGGCGGACGGGUGAGUAACGCGUGAGGAGCUGUCCUAUGCAGGGGGACAACAGUUGGAAACGGCUGCUAAUACCCCAUAAGCCGAGAGGUAAAAGGAUUUAUCCGGCAAAGGAGGGCACUCGCGUCCUAUCAGCUAGUAGGUUGGGUAACGGCCGACCUAGGCGAAGACGGGUAGCCGGCCUGAGAGGGCGAACGGCCACACUGGAACUGAGAUACGGUCCAGACUCCUACGGGAGGCAGCAGUGGGGAAUAUUGGGCAAUGGGGGCAACCCUGACCCAGCGACGCCGCGUGGGUGAAGAAAUCCUUCGGGAUGUAAAGCCCUGUUGUAUGGGAAGAGUAGAAGACGGUACCAUACGAGGAAGCCCCGGCAAACUACGUGCCAGCCGCGGC